rnacentral:misc_RNA from 1 species
GUGAAGAACGUAGCGAAAUGCGAUAAGUAAUGCGAAUUGCAGAAUUCCAGUGAGUCAUCGAAUCUUUGAACGCACAUUGCGCCCUUUGGUAUUCCGAAGGGCAUGCCUGUUCGAGCGUCAUUAUCACCCCUCAAGCCCUCGGCUUGGUGUUGGACGGUUUGGUGGAGGCCCCCUCGGGGGCUCCUGCCCCUCCCAAAGACAAUGACGGCGGCCUCGUUGGACCCCCGGUACACUGAGUUCUUCACGGGACACGUAUCGGACACAUGGGUUUACGGGACACGGUCUGCCUCCCCUCAGGGAGAAUCUUUCUAAGGUUGACCUCGGAUCAGGUAGGGAUACCCGCUGAACUUAAGCAUAUCAAUAAGCGGAGGA